CAGGAGGAGCCAGCCAGCGAGUGAGCGGAGAGGCAGGGAGACACCCACUCGCCGCCGCCGCCGCCGCCUCCUCCGAGAGGGAGAGGCAGUCCCCUUGGUGGCCGCAAGGGGGCACCGCAGGCGCCGAGCAGGGACUUCGGGGUGAAAAGAGAUACAAGUUUCACUCCGGAGUAACGAGAGACUUCGGAGUCACCCUCCACCCAGGGCCAUAGCCAGAAAAAAAAUGGGGGGGGGGGGGGUGUUGAAACUCUUUUUUAGCGAAUCAUGAAGAGUAGUUCCAUAACGCAGAAUAAUUUAGAAACCAGGCUCCAUCCAUACACUUCAGUGGACACUCAAGACAGAUACAUUUCAAUGGACACUCAUGGGGAUUUGGUUGACCAGUUAAAAUUCAUGAGUACUAUAAACCAAUAUUUUUUUAAAAACCUGAAAUACGGUGCGCGCGCGGGGGGGGGGGGGGGGGGUUGGACCCCUAAUCCCCCCACACCCUUGGCUACAGUCCUGCCCCCACCACAUUGAUAUAUGGCUUCUUUUAUUAACAAAGAACAUUUUAAAUACUGAGACAGACAGACGGUGCUGAUUGAUGUUUAAGGAUUGUAAUAGAUAUUUAAUGAUUUAUUUUACUUGUUUUCACUAUUUUUAAUAAUAAUGGAGCCCCUGGUGGCGCAAUGGGUUAAACCAGGGGUCCCCAAACUAAGGCCCGACAUAGGGUUGCCCUAAGUCUGAACCGACUUGAAGGCACAGAACAGCGACAAUCCUGACUUGACUAUCUCAUCAGCCAAAGGCAGGGCCAUAUUUCCCAUUGAAAUAUUGGUUCGUUUAUGUUGGUUGAAAAUUGUUCUUCAUUUUAAAUAUUGUAUUGUUCUUUCAUGGGUUUUUUUUGCACUACAAAUAAGAUAUGUGCAGUGUGCAUAGGAAUUUGUUCAUGUUUUUUGAAAACUAUAGUUGCCCCCCCCCCAAACAGUCUGUGGGAUUGUGAACUGGCCCUCUGCUUAAUAAGUUUGAGGAUCCCUGGGUUAAACUCUUGUGCCAGCAGGACUGCUGACCGAAAGUGAGCGGAGUGAGCUCCCGUCUGUUAAUUCUAGCUCCCAAUGCAGGGAUAUGAGAGAAGCCUCCUGCAGGAUGGUAAAACAUCAAACAUCUGGGCAUCCCCAAAGCAACGUCCUUGCAGAUGGCCAAUUCUCUCACACAGAAGCAACCUGCAUCAAGUCACCCCUGACACAAAAAUAAUAAUAAUAAUUAUUAUUAUUAUUAUUAUUCAUUUCUUUACUGCUUUUUCCCAUUGGUGGGAUUCAAAGUGGCGUACAAAAGUUUAAAAACACAAAUACAUAUAAAUCAGUACAUAAAAUACAUAAUCAACUAAAACAUCUAAACAUUAAAUAAAUAACCCAAUUUGAACACCCCAUAUACAACAAAUUAAUAACUUACAGCAAAUGCCAUUAGAACAUUUCCCUAAUCUCAGGCCACUGUGGUUAUUUGUAAAAAUAAGUUAUACAAACUCCUAAGACAUUCCAUUUUUCAUAAGGCCGUGUCGCAGUUGUCAGGACCAAAAAAGCAUUCAGAGGUAAAUAUGAGCAGCAGCUAUCUGGCAGUGCUUAAGUGGCUGAAGGGGAAAAGGAUUAUCUUGAGGCUGUUAGGAAUUAUGGGAGUUGAAGUCCAAAACACCUGGAGGGCCAAAGUUUCCCAUGCCUGGUCUAUACUCUAGAACACUGGUUCUCAACCUGUGGGUCCCCAGAUGUUUUGGCCCUCAACUCCCAGAAAUCCUAACAGCUGGUAAACUGGCCGGGAUUUCUGAGAGUUGUAGGCCAAAACACCUGGGGACACACAGGUUGAGAACCACUGUUCUAGAAUUACACUGUAAAGUUCAUGCAUUUUGGCACCGCUUUAAUUGUUUGAUGAGGCACCAGCAUUAUUGGAGGAUAAAGCUAUAGGCCUUGUAAAAUGACAGCUCCCAGGAUUGCAUAGCAAUGAGCCAUGGCAGUGAAAGUGGUAUCAAACUACAUUUAUUCUACAGUGUAGGUGCACCCACUGUUUGAUGUUCCUUAAACUUUCUUGGCUCAACUCUAUGGAAGCAUGUGAGUUGUAGUUUUACAGGAUCUUCCUUCUCUGCCAAAGAGUAUCUGUGCACCAACAAACUAUAACUCCCAUGAUUUCAUUACACUUGGCCAAAUAGGUUUAAAUAGUGUCAAACUGCAAUAAUUAGACAAUGUAAAUGCACCCUAAACUAGUUAAAAUGUUGUUUAUUCAUUCAGUGGCUUCUGACUCUUCAUGACCUCAUGGACCAGCCUGUGUGCAGAAGUACUCAGAUGUUUCAAAAUAAAGCCAUGUUCUAUUGGUAUAAGAUCAUCAUCAUUUGAUUUUUUUUAAUUUUGUGUCAGAAGCGAAUUGAGAAUAUACUGCAAGUCGAGAAUUGGGUAUCUACAGAGACGUUGCCCAGGGGACACCCGGAUAUGUUACCAUCCCGUGGGAGGUUUCUCUCAUGUCCCCUCAUGGGAAGCUGGAACUGACAGAUAGGAGCUCACCCCAUCUCGCUGAUUCAAACCGCCGACCUUCAGAUCUUCAGGUCAGCAGUUCAGCUGGCACAAGGGUUUAACUCAUUGUGCCACCGCAGCUCCCUGGAAUUAAAAUGAUUACAAUAAACUGUUUUUAAUACAUAGAAAAAAUUAUAUUAAAACAGAAUUAAACUAUAAGCAAUAUGAAGACACUUUAUAACAUUCAUUUUAAAAAUAGGGGGAUUUAAACAGUUCAUGUAAAAUAACAUUGCAUCCGAGGGUUGUUGUGUUUUCAGGGCUGUUUGGCCAUGUUCCAGAAGUAUUAUCUCCUGAUUUUUCACCCACAUCUAUGGCAGACAUCCUCAGAGGCUGUGAGGUAUAAUGGCAUCCUCUCAUACUGUAGUUGCUAUUGUUUACUUUCAAGUGAUUUCAGAAUUAUGGUGGCCCUAAGGCAAAACUUUCACAAGAUUUUCUUGGCAAGAUUUUUUCAGGAGAGGGGGGGUGUCUUUCAGUUUCUCUGAGGCUGAGAACAUGUGUCUUGCCCAGGGACUUACAACUUUUCCUUUAAACAUUCCAAAAGCCUGUCUGAAUGUAAAAAAGGUCUGCUUGUCCACAGAAGGAGACCAAAGUGGGAAGAAAUUGCCCAAUCUAGGGGCAGCCACCCACUUAUAAAGGUGAAUGGGAUUAGGGGGAAAGCCCUCCCUUGUGAAUGUCUGGAGCAGACAGGUUCAAGAAUUCACAUUUGAUUCAAUGUAUUCAUAUAACCAUUUAACUUCCCCUUCUAGUAUUUAUAUCCCAUUUAGUGUGGCUAACUGCAUUUUUUUGGGGGGGGGGGGGAACACUUGUGAGAAAAUAAUAUUACAAAACCAGUCAAUAAAAAUGGAUUAAUAAUACAACAUAACAGAACUGUUAAUAAAACUCCCCAAGCAAAUGCCAGCCCGAAGGGGAAGGUCAUAAAAUGAAACAAUUAAAGAGGACACCAGCCAGCCUUUCUGAGAAAAAAAAAAGUUGGGUUCUAGUGCGACCUCUACAAAGGGCCAUAUUUUAAGUGGACAUCAAACCAGAAAGAAAUAAACAUAGGUUACAAGAUGAACUUUGUGACACAGUGUGUAAUGUAUUCAUAUAAAACUUAAAUCCUGCCCUUCUUGUAUUUAUAUCCCAUUUAAGGUGGCUAACAGCAUUUUAAAAACAAACACUUAUAAGGGAGGUAAUAAAAUUACAAAACUGGUCAAUAAAAAUAGAUUAAUAACAUAAUAUAAUAGAACCAAUAAUAAAACUCGCAUCCUUCAUACUAUCACCCAGGGCAGCAACUCAGUUUUCUUACUCCAUGUACUACCAUGUUUCCCCCAAAAUAAGAGAGUGUCUUAUAUUAAUUUUUACUCCCAAAGAUGUGCUAGGUCUUAUUUUCAGGGGAUGUCUUAUUUUUCCAUGAAGAAGAAUUCACAUUUAUUGUUGAACAAAAAAAUGAACAUUUAUUAUAUACUGUACAGUAGUUGUCAUCACAAACCAGCAUUACCAGACAAACUGUGAAUCCUAUCAAGAAUUUCUUGUUACUACUAUUAUUUCCAUGUACAACACUCUAUGGUAUGUACAUUUACCGAUCCUGCAAGCUCUGGUGUUCUGUUUGGCGGGCAUGCUUCCAAACAAAAACUUUGCUAGGUCUUACUUUUGGGGGAGGCCUUAUAUUUAGCAAUUCAGCAAAACCUCUACUAGAUCUUAUUUUCUGGGGAUGUCUUAUUUUAGGGAAACAGGGUAGCACUAGGUGUCAGAGUAAAAUAUUGUCUACAAAAGGGGUUUUCAGCUAUAUUCCUACUUUGGCUUGCUUUGGGGAUACUUUAAGGUUUUCUGGAAAAUCCAGACUGCCCCAGGGCUUUGGGGAUAAUCUGGAUAGCUGGAUUGGUCCAAUUUGGCCCAAUCCACUGUCCAGAUAGGAUACUACCAUGAUCAGCCUUUCCCUGUGUUGGUCAGUGCAGGGAAAGGGAAUGGAUCCUGCCCAUGUCGUUGCUUCCACUACUCCGCUUGAAUGCUGGGCCCUUGAAGCUAUCUUUUCUGAUGUCAGAAUGGGACACCCAUGAUGACCAGGAGCUUCCAUGGCUGGCUAGGUAUUCUACAAUUGGAGCCGCUGAUGGUGCAGCGGAUUAAACCACUGAACUGCUGAACUUGCUGACCGAAAGAUCGGCUGUUCAAAUCCGGGGAACGGGGUGAGUUUCCACUGUUAGCCCCAGCUUCUGCCAACCUAGCAGUUCGAAAACAUGAAAAUGUGAGUAGAUCAAUAGGUACCACUCUGGCGAGAAAGUAACGGCCCUUAAUGCAGUCAUGCCAACCACAUGAUCUUGGACAACACCAGCUCUUGGGCUUAGAAAUGGAGAUGAGCACCAACUCCCAGAGCUGGAUAUAACUAGACUCAAUGUCAAGGGGAAACCUUUACCUGUGGGUGAUGUUAUCAUGUAUUGCUUUUUUAUUGUUAUGUGUCUUCAAGUUGACCCUUACUUGUGUUGACCCUAGCUUAAGAUUUUCCUGACAAAGAGUUAUUCAAAGGUGGUUUGCCAUUACCUUCCCCUUAGACUGAGAGAGUAUGACUUGCAAGGUCACCCAAUGGUUUUCCAUGAACAGUGAUUCAAAUCCUGGUCUCUCAGAGUUCUCUAGUCAAACAUUCAGAUCACAAACCACCCUGCUGGCUCUAUGUUAUUAAUACAUAUAUCUGUCUCAAUUUGUAAGCACUCUUGGAAUUCUGAUGCAUUGAAAUAGAAACAUCUAUCAAGCAACUCCAAGAUCUGUGAAGCACUUUGCAGAUUGCCAAUGCAAUAUUGAUGACCAACAGUAAAGGGAUGCCAAAAUGUUACCCUGGAAAGCACGUUGCAAUUGAACUUUCUGGAAUCUGUUCCCCAUAAAGAGACAAUAGCAUGGAUCCGAUAUCAGUUUCCAUCUUAAAAAGACUCAUUGAAUCAAUGAGAUUUAUAACAUAAAUCAAGCCAGAAGAAUAGCAACAAUCGACGACUAACUAUUGUAAGCUUAUGGGGAAAGAUGACUGGAGCUGCAGUUCAAAACAUCUGGAGAAGCAACGGUUUACUAUCCGUGGGCGGAAAGAAAAAGUGAAAUCCAAUUUCUCCGAUGUAUAUAUUUGUUACCUCUAUCCAUUGCAACUUGCUGACCAAAACAGUAGCCUCCUUAGGGGAAACAUGCAUUCCCCAGAACCAAAUUUAAUUGUUCAGACAAGCACCUGGAAAAACAUGUAAUGCUUGUUUGGCUCACAUUGUAACAUUUCCCCUUGAAAUGUUUAUCUUCCCAACUAAAUGUACAUAGUUUCAUAUUUAUAACAUUUAAGUGAUAUAUAAUUCACAUAGGAACUGACAAAAUAGUUUUCUCUUAUGCAUAUUCUUAUUGCCUUUUGUUGGAAGGUCAGCAGGUAAAAGAGAUGCAGACUAUUUGGCCUGAAAUGGCCAAAGAAAAAUUAGAAACAAUAUAUGAGAAUGUGUGUUUGUAAAUGUUUCUUCCUUUCUCGCAUUAGUUUCUUUAGUGAAUUAUGCCUUCUGAACAUCAGUAAUCUUGCUCUCUUUUCUCAGUCUCCAGCCUAGGCCUCCUCUAGAUGUUUUGGACUAUCCCCAUGGUAACUGGGGCUAAUGGGAAUUUAAUUCAAAACCUCUGGAGGAAGAUGGGUUUAACUUGUUAGAGGUUGUAGAUAUAAAUAAAUAGAAGUUUUACCACAGUUUCUGAACCAAGAUAUACCCUGCGGUAUAAUAAAGUGUCACUCAGGCUUGUGUAAGAAGUAACAGUAUCUUUACUUCAGUUUAAAAGAUCAAUCAGGACAAUAAUGUAUAUAGCAGUCUUUCUGAAUUCACACAGAGAACACAGAAAUAAACAGUCUUUAAACAUG